rnacentral:tRNA from 1 species
GCCUGGGUGGCUCAGUCGGUUGAGUGUCCGAUUUUGGCUCAGAUCAUGAUCUCGCGGUUUGUGGGUUCAAGCCCUGUGUCAGGCU